rnacentral:rRNA from 1 species
GAUGAACGCUAGCUGCAGGCUUAACACAUGCAAGUCGAGGGACCGGCGCGCGGGUGAGUCACACGUAUCCAACCUGCCCUUUACUCGGGGAUAGCCUUUCGAAAGAAAGAUUAAUACCCGAUGUAAAGGAUGGGGAUGCGUUCCAUUAGGUUGUUGGUGAGGUAACGGCUCACCAAGCCUUCGAUGGAUAGGGGUUCUGAGAGGAAGGUCCCCCAGAUUGGAACUGAGACACGGUCCACACUCCUACGGGAGGCAGGAGUGAGGAAGAUUGGUCAAGGGGCGCUAGCCUGAACCAGCCAAGUAGCGGGAAGGAUGAAGGCUUAUGGGGCGUAAUCUUCUUGGAUAUAAGAAUAGGUAUUAAAUGAAUAAGGAUCGGCUAACUCCGUGCCAGCAGCCGCGGUAAUAC